UAGGGAAUAUUGGACAAUGGGGGCAACCCUGAUCCAGCCAUGCCGCGUGAGUGAAGAAGGCCCUCGGGUUGUAAAGCUCUUUUGUCCGGAAAGAAAAGCAUUCGGUGAAUACCCGGAUGUUCUGACGGUACCGGAAGAAUAAGCACCGGCUAACUUCGUGCCAGCAGCCGCGGUAAUACGAAGGGCGCAAGCGUUAAUCGGAAUUACUGCGCGUAAAGCGUGCGCAGGCGGUUUGUUAAGUCUGCUGUGAAAUCCCCGAGCUCAACUUGGGAAUUGCAGUGGAUACUGGCAAGCUGGAGUACGGUAGAGGAAGGUGGAAUUCCCGGUGUAGCAGUGAAAUGCGUAGAGAUCGGGAGUAACACCAGUGGCGAAGGCGGCCUUCUGGACCAGUACUGACGCUCAUGCACGAAAGCGUGGGGAGCAAACA
rnacentral:rRNA from 1 species